rnacentral:rRNA from 1 species
CAGUCGCCGCGGUAAUACGAAGGGUGCAAGCGUUAAUCGGAAUUACUGGGCGUAAAGCGUGCGUAGGCGGUGAGUUAAGUCUGCUGUGAAAUCCCCGGGCUCAACCUGGGAAUGGCAGUGGAUACUGGCUCGCUAGAGUGUGUCAGAGGAUGGUGGAAUUCCCGGUGUAGCGGUGAAAUGCGUAGAGAUCGGGAGGAACAUCAGUGGCGAAGGCGGCCAUCUGGGACAACACUGACGCUGAGGCACGGAAGCGUGGGGAGCAAACAGGAUUAGAUAUCCCUGUAGUCCCUGUCUCUUAUAA